rnacentral:rRNA from 1 species
GCCUACGGCCAUACUACCCUGAACACACCUGAUCUUGGAAGUUAAGCAGGGUCAGGCUUAGUUAGUACUUGGAUGGGAGAUGAUGGAGAAAACCCCAAUAUUUUGUUUU